rnacentral:rRNA from 1 species
ACGAACGCUGGCGGCGUGCUUAACACCUGCCAGUCGAACGAUGAAGCGGGUGCUUGCACUCGUGGAUUAGUGGCGAACGGGCGAGUAACACGUGAGUAACCUGUCCUUUUCUUUGGGAUAACGGCUGGAAACGGCUGCUAAUACUGGAUAUUCAGGCUGCAUCGCAUGGUGUGGUUUGGAAAGGUUUUUUCUGGGAUUGGGUGGGCUCGCGGCCUAUCAGCUUGUUGGUGGGGUGAUGGCUUACCAAGGCUUUGACGGGUAGCCGGCCUGAGAGGGUGGGCGGUCGCACUGGGACUGAGAUACGGCCCAGACUCCUACGGGAGGCAGCAGUGGGGAAUAUUGCACAAUGGACGAAAGUUUGAUGCAGCGACGCCGCGUGGAGGGUGUAGGCCUUCGGGUUGUGAACUCCUUUUUCUCGCGAAAAAGGCACAGUUUUGGCUGUGUUGAUGGUAGUGGGGGAAGAAGCGCCGGCUAACUACGUG